rnacentral:lncRNA from 13 species
AUUAGUAAAAUGAGAUGCAACUUAUGGAAACGUUCACUCAUCCUUGAAACAGAAAAUCACCAUCUGGAAGUCAUUUAAUGAGAGCAAUCAGUCCAGAAAGCACCACUGCCAGGGGAGGCCUGGAGAUGAUGCCAGGAAGAAGGUUAGACAAAGAUGGGAGGUUGAGCCAGAACAAUCAGAGCUUCUCCUGGAAAGACCUCAUGACACUUAGCCAGUGUCGCGGAGCUUUUCACAGCUCCUGACACCCAGCCAGAAUCUCUGAAAUCCACUCUGCCUCUGCCUGGUAGCCAGCCUGUCCUCUGACUUCUAGCGCCAGCUGGAAAGACGGCUCCAGAUGGGCUUCUCAUUACUGUUUUCAACAAGGCAAGGUUGAUGGUGUCCAACAUUUUGCUCCUUUGGGUCCAUUAAUUAGGCCAAGGCCAGAGAUGCAGGUCCAGCACCAGUAUGAAGGAUUGAAUAGUGUGCCAACUGGGGCCAGGAAAUGUCUUCCUCUCUCGCCCAUACUUUCAUUCUAAGAUAGGCGUGUGCUAUAUUCACAGUCCUGCUGCGUGUGGCGUCAGCUGCUUCCAUCACCACAUGGCUUGACCACUGACCUGCUGAAGUUUUCAAGGUUGCAGCACUUUGAGUUCCUUUUCCUGACAUCUAUGUGCCACCACUUCCAUGUCCUAUGACCUCCUGAGGCACCAUGUGGAAUUGAACAAAUGCACUGAGCUCACAUUACACCAGCCCAAGCCAGGAAGGCUCUGUCAGGCCAUCCAUCAGCUUUUACAGGGUGAAAACCUUUGGGAAACAUGGAAACCACUCAACAAAUUGAAAACAUUAAUGAACGGGUUCAAGUAAACACCAAAUCUUCAUGCCUGGAUAUUACCUUCCGCUUUCUUCUCUCAGGAGAACUUGUAUUGAUACUUUGGGGUGGAAGCAGAGCAGGAGGAUGUGUCUGGAUGGAGUACUGGAGAGAAUUCAGCUCAUAACAAGAGAAAGGUAAAAAGGUCUGGAGAGAUUGAGAAAUGAGAGAAAUUCAUAGCUGGGAGGGAGGGAAGUAUUCUAAGCAGGAAGAGUCAGGGUGGAACAUAAGAAGUUGCCAGGUUUUAGGUGAAAUCAGAAGGCCUUAAGUGUUUCCACAUUUUUCAUUAACAUUGAAAAAAGAAUUUCUUUCUCUUUUUUUUUUGAGACAGAGUAUCACUCUUGUCACCCAAGCUGGAGUGCAGUGACGUGAUCUCGGCUCCCUGCAACCUCCGCCUUUUGGGUUUAGGUGAUUCUCCUGCCUCAGCCUCCCUAGUAGCUGGGAGUGUAGGUGCCUGCCACCACACCUGACUAAGUUUUGUAUUUUUAGUAAAGACAGAGUGUCACCAUGUUGGCCAGGCUGGUCUCAAACUCCUGGCCUCAGGCGAUCCACCUGCCUCAGACAUGUGAUCAGAGUUAGCAUGUGAGUUGUAACU